rnacentral:rRNA from 1 species
AGAGUUUGAUCCUGGCUCAGAUAGAACGCUGGCGGCAGGCAUAACACAUACAAGUCGGACGGUAGCACAGAGAGCUUGCUCUUGGGUGACGAGUGGCGGACGGGUGAGUAAUGUCUGGGGAUCUGCCCGAUAGAGGGGGAUAACCACUGGAAACGGUGGCUAAUACCGCAUAACGUCGCAAGACCAAAGAGGGGGACCUUCGGGCCUCUCACUAUCGGAUGAACCCAGAUGGGAUUAGCUAGUAGGCGGGGUAAUGGCCCACCUAGGCGACGAUCCCUAGCUGGUCUGAGAGGAUGACCAGCCACACUGGAACUGAGACACGGUCCAGACUCCUACGGGAGGCAGCAGUGGGGAAUAUUGCACAAUGGGCGCAAGCCUGAUGCAGCCAUGCCGCGUGUAUGAAGAAGGCCUUCGGGUUGUAAAGUACUUUCAGCGGGGAGGAAGGCGAUGCGGUUAAUAACC